rnacentral:lncRNA from 1 species
CAAGUGUAUUUGUACUCAAAACAGCACAGAAGCUUUAAAAAAUGACUGCUUAAGUAGAUUUGCUUAUUGUAAAUAGCCCUUAGCACACCUUUCAUUUUAAUAAGCAUUUCUGUGCAGCUUCACAUUGCAUCUUUUACUUAAGUAUUUCAAAUCUCCUUUAAAAGACAUGACUAACCACACGUGGUUUCUCUUCUCUCUAUUCCUCUCUCUCCAUGAAGACUACCACAUUUAAAGCUUGGCCGAAAAGAGUGGGAAGAAAAAGGGGAGUCUAAGCAUAUGUGAUGUUGCCCGUUUCAGUUAGAGAUGAAGCAUGCCUCAUUUUUGGAGCAAAAGGAUCAGAGCUGUCUCCAGCUAUUUUGUGAAACUCAUGGAACGCUCCCCUGCUUCUUGCUAUAGAUAUGUGCCCCAGCCAAGCGCUGCCCUUUCACAGCCAGCUUCCAUGGAAAGGAAACCCAGCCGUGCAGUCAAAAGAGAACCAUCGCUUACUCUAAAACAGUGUCUACAAUAUGUCAAGAGUUUGAGAUUCUUUGAACACUAUGGAUACACAAUAAAUUAACAGCAUCUCUACUUGAAAAUAUUUGUAUUGCUUGAUCUUUCAAGAAUAGUAAUUCAAAUAUGCUAAUA